GACCUCAGAUCAGGUGAG
rnacentral:rRNA from 1 species